rnacentral:rRNA from 1 species
AUUGAACGCUGGCGGCAGGCUUAACACAUGCAAGUCGAGCGAGCGGCGGACGGGAGAGCUAUGUCUGUGACACUGCCUGAUGGAGGGGGAUAACUACCGGAAACGGUAGCUAAUACCGUAUAACUUCAGCUGUGCCCAGAUGGGAUUAGCUAGUAGGUGGGGUAAAGGCUCACCAAGGUGACGAUCCCUAGCUGGUCUGAGAGGAUGACCAGCCACACUGGAACUGAGACACGGUCCAGACUCCUACGGGAGGCAGCAGUGGGGAAUAUUGCACAAUGGGCGCAAGCCUGAUGCAGCCAUGCCGCGUGUGUGAAGAAGGCCUUCGGAUUGUAAAGCACUUUCAGCUGGGAGGCGUUACUCGCAGAAGAAGCACCGGCUAACUCCGUGCCAGCCGCCGCGGUAAUUC